AUACGGAGGGUGCAAGCGUUAAUCGGAAUUACUGGGCGUAAAGCGCGCGUAGGCGGAUAUUUAAGUCUCAUGUGAAAGCCCUGGGCUCAACCUGGGAACUGCAUGGGAUACUGGGUAUCUAGAAUACAGUGGAGGGUAGUGGAAUUUCAGGUGUAGCGGUGAAAUGCGUAGAGAUCUGAAGGAACAUCAGUGGCGAAGGCGACUACCUGGACUGAUAUUGACGCUGAGGUGCGAAAGCGUGGGGAGCAAACGGGAUUAGAAACCCUAGUAGUCC
rnacentral:rRNA from 1 species